GAGACCUAGAUUAGAGAGUUGGCUUACCCUAACCUAGCGUGACGGGUACGUUAAAAUAUAGAGGCUGUGAAGACAACAUGAGACGGUAGUUUGAGAAGGAACUUCAAAUUCUAUACUAAAGCAGUAAAUAUAUUUCUUUUCGAUAAUGAAACAGAUUUUGUGUGACAUUUCUUCACCAAAUGAAGCUUUGUGAAGGCAGUGAGCUGAGCUAGCAGAAACAACCAAAUCCCGUGCCCAAAAUUUUCACUCGUGACCAGAUUCCCAUAGCGUCACCAUGUGUUACAAAAGUUAUGAAACGGAGGGUCUCACCUGUAUGUUGGUGUUUGCCAUUAUUGCUGCCGUCCUUGGAAUGUUUCAGUUUGGUUACAACACUGGAGUUAUAAAUGCCCCCCAAAUAAUUUUACAAGAAUUUAUAUCAGAUAUAUAUGAAAAGAGGACAGGAAAUGUUAUUACAGAUGGAUUCAAUGAACUUAUUUGGUCUAUCACUGUAUCCAUAUUUGCCAUAGGUGGUAUGGUGGGAGGUAUAUCAGGAGGAGCAAUUGCAAAUAGGUUUGGAAGGAAAGGUGGUCUUCUUCUUAACAAUAUAUUUGCAAUAUUAGGAGGUGCUUUAAUGGGCCUCAGCAAAGUGUCCCGUAGUAUUGAGAUGCUCAUCAUUGGUCGCCUUAUUAUAGGUUUUAACUGUGGUUUAAAUACCGCUCUCGUGCCAAUGUACUUAUCAGAAAUAUCACCUGUCUCUAUACGUGGAGGAUUAGGCACAGUAAAUCAGCUUGCUGUGACAGUUGGGCUUUUGUUGUCCCAAGUUUUUGGAAUUAAUUUUCUUCUGGGCACAGCACAAGGGUGGCCUUAUCUCUUAGCUAUAGCAAUCAUACCAGCAGUUCUGCAGCUGUGUUUGUUACCUUUGUGUCCAGAGAGUCCUCGAUUCUUGCUCAUUUCAAAACAACAGGAAUUUCAUGCAAGAGAAGGCCUAAAACGUUUGAGAAAUUCAAGCAACAUUGAAAAAGAUAUAGAAGAAAUGAAAGCAGAAGAAAGAGCCAGUCAACAUGAAGUUAAGAUAACAAUGAUGGAAUUAAUAAAGAAUAAGAGGUUACAGCUUCCAUUAAUAAUAGGUAUAAUCAUGCAACUUUCACAACAGCUUUCAGGAAUAAAUGCUGUGUUUUAUUAUUCCACGGGCCUUUUUGUGGCAGCAGGUCUCUCAGAAGAAACAUCGAAGUAUGCAACCAUUGGUGUGGGGUGUGUGAUGGUAAUUAUGACUCUGGUUUCCAUUCCACUGAUGGACCGGGCAGGAAGGCGAACAUUGCAUUUGUAUGGGCUUGGUGGCAUGUUCAUCUUCAGUAUCUUUAUUACCAUUUCUUUACUUGUAAAGUUUAUGUACUCCUGGGUGACUUAUCUAAGUGUUGUCAGCACACUAGGUUACGUGGUAUUCUUUGCUAUUGGUCCAGGAUCCAUUCCAUGGAUGAUCACUGCAGAACUUUUUUCCCAAGGCCCAAGACCAGCAGCUAUGAGCAUAGCUGUGUUAGUCAACUGGUUAGCCAACUUUGUCGUUGGGUUGGUAUUUCCUCAUAUGCAGAAAGGUCUCAGUGAUUACACUUUCCUUCCAUUUACUGCUCUUCUUGCUAUUUUUUGGACCUUCACUUAUAAGAAAGUUCCUGAAACAAGAAAUAAGACAUUUGAAGAAAUCUCAGCUCUGUUUAGGAGGGAUGAAGUCCUUAAUGCUAAUGGCAUGAACAUAGACACAACUAGCAGAUACAGAUCCACUGAAGGACCAGUUGCAGAGGAGAAGUCUGUUGAGUCAUGCCAGUUACACGACUUUCAUCAUUGCUGGGAAAUGGAUGAACUCCAGCAUACAGAGAAAACAAGGGAGCAAAUUCUAAAUCAUUUGGGAGUUCAGGCCUAAGAAAGGAUGUUAAAUCUCUUUCUCACGUCCUUCUUGUCAUUGGUGUCUCUACUAACAGGAGCUGAAUGGAGUAGAGAUCUCACCAGAACUGUGGACCAUUUUGAGGCCUUUUCAACCAAGACUAGGGUGAAAACCCAUUGCUAUACUAAGCAACUGUGAUAUAUGGAAGAUAGCAGCCAGGGAAGAAACACAUAAAAAAUGUAUUGUGCAUCUUAAAACAUAAAUGGUGUUGUUUUAUUUUGUGUGUUUCCCAUCGCCAUCUGCCGGAGAUCCAAGAACAUUUGCUUAUCCUAGGAUUUCCAAACACGAUAAUGCAAAGUUUAUCGGAAGAUAAUACAAUGAUAAUAGCUUCAACCAUGAUCCCCGGAAAUGAGUUGAAUCAUAAAAAGAGAUGGGGCACAUAUAAAGUAAAUAACACAAGCACUUUUAUUGAUAUUCCUUCUUCUGAAGUGAACUGAAAAGGAGGAGUUUCACUUUCAACAAACAUUCAGGUUUAUUUUAUUGUAACAACUUCAAUGUUCUUUACGUCUCAUCAUUAUUCUAUCAACUAUAACACUUACGAGAUAAGGUAAAGUGUAAAAACAAAAAUCAUUGUAUACCCUUAAAAUUAGGAACAUUCGUAAUACAUAAUGCACCUUUUGAAGAAACUUGUCAUUUAAUUUUUGAAACUAUGUACUUUGUGUGCGGUACAAAAGGAUAUAACACGAAAAGGGUAAGUCAUGUUAAUAAGAAAUUUAAAGCCUAAUAUUAAACAUUUAUAUCAAUUUGAAAAUUUUUUGUUCUCCCAUGAAAAAUCAUAAUAGGCGUAUAUUUCCAAUUCGACCUACAAACAUUAUUUUAAAUGUAAAGUAAUUUUGGUGAAAACGACUACAAACUGCAAAGCAUACGAGCAUUUAAAAGCCAUUGGAUAUAAUGAAAUAAAUAACAGUGGUUCUUUGAGUUGUCUUAU